CCUACGGGAGGCUGCAGUGAGGAAUAUUUGUCAAUGGCCGAGAGGCUGAACCAGCCAAGUCGCGUGAGGGAAGACGGCCCUACGGGUUGUAAACCUCUUUUGUCGGGGAGCAAAGAGAGUCACGUGUGACUCAUUGAGAGUACCCGAAGAAAAAGCAUCGGCUAACUCCGUGCCAGCAGCCGCGGUAAUACGGAGGAUGCGAGCGUUAUCCGGAUUUAUUGGGUUUAAAGGGUGCGCAGGCGGAGGUGCAAGUCAGCGGUCAAAUUGCGGGGCUCAACCCCGUACUGCCGUUGAAACUGCGUCCCUGGAGUGCAAGAGAGGUGUGGGGAAUGCGUGGGGUAGCGGGGAAA
rnacentral:rRNA from 1 species